GAAACCCUGAAAGGGAAGCCUCUUGUAGCAGCCUUCUCGUUCCCACCUCCAAGCGUUUGCCGAGCUGCUAGGUGGAGCCCGCGCGCGGAGCCCGCACGUACUCCAGAUCCGGGUUUUACCGGCCACCCCCUUCCCCCGGCGCGAGCCCCCUCCCCGGCUCUCCGCGCUCGCCCGCCUGCCCGCGGUUCAUUCUGGCCUCGGCUCGGGCCCCGGCUGCGUCCGCCGCGCAGGCUGCCGGCCCCGGCGCACCCGCGCUCCCAUCGGCUCUCGGCACGGCGCCCGGUCGCCUGCUCGCCCGGCACCGCUCGCCCCACUUCCGAGGAGCGGGGAUGCAGAUGCUGCCGCGGGUGCGGGUGGGCGCCGCUGCUGCCUCUGCCGGCUUUUCCCGGACUGCUCGUUGCCUCCGCGCCGGCAGCUGCUGCUGCUGCCGCCUGUGACUCGCCCCCUCCCCUUUCUUUCUUCUCUUUUUGCCUCCGUCCUUUUUCUCCGGUGUGCGCGCGCGCGGGUUGCACGGUUUGCUUUGGCAGGAGCUCGCUCGUGUGUGCGCGUGUGUGUGUGCGUGUCUGGAGAGCACCAGAGCCUUGCUCGCUCUCGGGGAGUCGAAGAAGAGAAAGAACCGAAGAGGCGGCGCGGAGCCCGGGGCCGCGCGAUGAAGCUCCCACAUGCCCGCAGCUACCCGGCCCGGCCGGCGAGCUAGGCAGCCACCCCCCGGGCUCGGGGCUCCGCGGCCCCCGGGACGCAGCCCUCCGCGGCCCGGCGCCCGCGCCCCCCGCGCGCCCCCGCUGUGCACUGGGGAAGGAGUUUGCGUGGCCCUCGCUCCGGCUCCCGGCGCAGGUUGCGGGCGCGAGAGGAGAGCCUCGGCGGGGAGAGAAGCUCGGGCGGAGAAGGAGGAGGGUUUGGUGGAGAAGAAGCCACUCCUGGCCCUCGCGGCUCCCCCUACCUAUUCCAUCGCUCCCGCUCCCAGGCGGAAAGGGGAGGACGGAGAAGAAGAAAAAGAAAGAGAAGGGGGUGGGGUGGGAGAACUGGAUAUAA
rnacentral:lncRNA from 1 species